AUACUUAUUUUCAAGGGUAAAAUGAUAAUAUUAUUUUUUUAACCAAACCACAAGCUUUCCGUUUCCUUCCAGAUCUUUCCCGUUGUAUCUCUCUUUCCAUCUUCUUCCCCAAGCUCUGCAAUUAUGGAUCCAAACAACAAUAAGAGCAUUAAAUUCUCAGCCACAGAAUUUGAUGAGUUCUUUGCCAGAGAAAGAAGUUCUACCAUCUGUGGAUAAUGAAAUUGAAUCACCAAAAGAUGAGUCUCUGGAUGAGGGACCUACAAUGGUGUAUUUGGAAGGCAAAUUACAAGUAGAAACUCUUCGGAGUGAUUCCUUGAUGGUUUAACUUCAGGCAUCAGAGAAAACAAUCAAAAUCCUGGAAAAAGAAAUAAAAAAUCUCAGACAGUCAAAGGGGAUGAUGGAGGAUCAAAUUGAGAAAGAAAAGAUGAUGAAAGAAGACCUUGAGAUGCAAUUCAAAGCAGCUAAACUGGAACUGAAUGAAUCUUGUCUAAAGGCCUGCUCUUUAGAAAACAAACUCAACCAAAAUAAGUCCAAUAAGAAGCUCGAUUCUACAUGCAAUUUGCUUCACCUACAGCAAGAAAGCACAAAAAAAUGGAGUUACUGAAAAAUGCUGAGGUGGACCCUGAAGAAAAGCUUCUUCAAAGUGAUUCGGAGAUCUCUGCAGCUUUAAAAAAGUUGGCUGAGUGACAAGAAACUAUUCUGAACCUAGGAAAGCAAUUGAAGGCAUUGGCCUCACCGGAGGAUCCAGCUCUAUUUGAUAAGGUGAUAUCUACAACUUCAGAAACAACUACUGCUCCCAUGACAACCCCAAAGAAAAGUUUUGGACGUCGUUCAUCUCUUCUUGACAAGAUGUUGGCUAAGGACUACGAAAUAGGUUCUCAUACGGCCAAGUAAGUCAUUCUGGAUGCCAAGAGAAAUACUUCUUCCAGUAUUGAGGGAUCAAUGAAACAACUAGAAAAGUCUCUAUUGACAAAUGAGAGUACAAACUCAAGAAAUGAAGUGGUUACUGGCUCCCAUCCUAUCGUACCUAGCAAGAAAAAAAAUGUUCUUGGAUUGUGGAGGAAGUUGUUGCGAAAAGGUUGAAGUGAAGACAAGAGAUUGAAGAGCUGUGAAUAUCCAUUUGUUUUGCAGCCGCAGACCAGGCCUCGUACUCUCAAUAGUGAGGGCUCUCGAUAACGUUGGCCUGGACAUCCAACAAGCUGUUAUCAGCUACUUCUCAAUGGGUUUGCCUUAGAAAUCUUCAGAGCUAAGGGAUUUGGGCAAUACUAAUAUUUCUGGAAGUUUAGGACCAGAGCUUGUUGAACUCAAGAAUCUACAGUGCUUGUAUUUUUCUUUGUUUAUCUCUUUUCUUGUUCUUUUGUUUCUUGUCUCAGAUUAGUGUAUCUCCUGCUGCAUGUACUGAAACCGUGGAGAAAGUAAUGGAAAAGUAAUAUAAAAGGGGCAUUUUUUAGACAAAGAUAUAUGCCUGGAUUACUGUCACAUGAUUAAUGUUGUUUCUCUCUUUGAUUUUGUGUGCUUACUUCACUUGCAAGUCUAUCUAUCUAUUGUCUUUUAAGGUGACGGACAAACUUUAUCCAGAAUUGCAGGGAACUUUAUAGUAACAACGUUAAAGGUAAAAUUCCAAAGGAAUUGGGUAAUCUGGAAAAUCUUGUUAGCAUGGACCUAUAUGGAAACAAAUUUGAAGGCAACAUUCCAAAAUCUUUUGCUAAAUUAAAGUCUCUUAGAUUUUUGUAAGUAUUCGUAUGAAAUAAGUCAUGAGUUUGACAAUUUUGAGCCGAUAUUUGAUGUUAUAAAGAUCAUUCAAUCUUUUUCAUGUUAUGACUACGGGCGGUUAAAUGACAAUAAACUAACUGGUUCGAUUCCAAGGGAACUUACAACCCUUCCCAACCUCACUCUUUCCUAUGGAAGGGUAUUCACACUUGUCAUUUUUUCUUCCUUAUUGAAAUUUCACUUACAUUUUUACUGAUGAUCUAACUAUCCUUUGAUAUGGUACUGGUUCACUAAUGCCCGAUUUAUUGGCGAAAGUUUCUUAGCUUCAUUCUGUAACUGUUUUACUCGGGGGAGGAGAAUUCUAUUGAAUGACCGGUUGCAUCAUGCUUAGAAUGUGCUUUAAGGCUCAUAGGCACAGGUUCUGAAUGCACAGCCUUGCAUUAUUGAGCUUGAUCCUACCUACUGCAAAAAUUAAGUUCCGUCGAGUCAUUAGUUAGUAGUUGUUGUUGAAAAGAAAAGGUCAUUAGUUAGUAGUUGGUGACUUUGGUAAAAUUCUAAACUUACUGCAAGAGGUGAGUUAAUAUUUGUUUCUUUGUUCUUUUGUGUGGUUUAUAAGAGACAAAGGAUGGAAUACAGCGGGGCAAUAGAAUCAACAGAAUUGUACUGUUUACAACGUUCACCCUUUGCGGUUUGCUGCUGGAUUCAAGUUGGAUAACCUCCUCAAACUAAAUGACACCCGUCCAUGAAGCAAUAAGAUGACUCUCAUGCAUUAUCUUUGCAAGGUAAAGAUCUUCCCUCGAAAAAUAGAUUGACGAGAUCAGAAUAAUGGGGUUACAAAUUUUCCCCGUAUUUCCUGUAGUGUGCGGAUGCAAUGUUUACUGCUAGAAUUUUCAUCUUAUUGAUAUCAUUUUUUCCUCUAAUACUUGAUCUUAGCAAGCACAAUAAUCCUCCUUGACAAUUAAGGUUUCUUUAAGGUGGCUAUGCAACGUGAUAAUUUGAGGUCUUAUCUUACCUAUCAUCUCAAAACAAAAGGAUGAAAAAACUAAUGGUUUUAUCAUGGCAAAGGGCAUGUUGAAUUAACUUUUCCUUAUGCUAGUGACAAUCAUCUUUCACAUAAUGCUUUAUGAAAUUAUUAUUAUUCGACAGAUACUUGCUGACAAGUCGCCUGAACUACUCGACUUUUCUAAAGAUAUUUCCAGCUUGGAACCUGCAUUAAAUAUUCCUCCAUAUUCCCAAGUUAUAAUCUGUUAAGCUCUGUUCUCAAAAGUUAAACCAUUUGAGACAAAUCAUAACUCACCUAACCAUUUGAUACAAAUUGUACCUCUUGAACUCUAAAUAUGGCUACAUCUUGUAAGAAGGGAAGAUUAUAUAAGUUGCUUCUUGCUCUAAGUGUUUCCCUCUUCGCCUCCAUUUGCAUGUAUGGACUUCCUUUUCUUGCUAAAUGCAAGCCUUGUGAUUUAUCCCUAUCAGAGUCUUGUCCUGGCAAUAGAGAGAGAGGAAACUUCAAACAAUGCAACUGCCCAAAUGGUUACUACAAUGAGUUGGCCACUCUUAUUCUUACAACAAAGGAGGACGCGAUCAGAAAUAUUUUCUCCCUAAACACUGCCACUGAAUUCUAAGACACAUCACUUCUCAUCUUCUUUUUGUUGUAUUGUAUCUUGGGAGUUAUUACUGUGGGGAUUGUUGUGUCAUCUGGUCUCUUCAUCCAAAUAAUCCUCAUGGGUUCAGGAUAUGGUCCCUUACUUGGCAUUGCCAUGAGACCUUACACAAAAAUUGAUCAGGGGUUGUAUGUUGUUCUUGGAGCAUCUUCCCUUAUGGCUGGUUCAAUGAGAAUGACAGUUACUGUUUGUAUCAUAUUUCUUGAGCUGACAAACAAUCUUCUUCUUCUGCCAAUAACAAUGUUUCUCCUCCUAAUUGUUAAAAGUGUGGCAAACUGCUUCAACAUCUAUGAAAUAAUGUUGGAAUUAAAAGGCCUACCUUUCGUGGAAGCACAUCCUUAGCCAUGGAUGAGGAAUAUCACAGUUGGUGAGCUUGCUGAAGUAAGGCCACCAGGGGUUACAGUUAACGGAAUUGAGAAAGUGAGACGAAUCGUAGAGGUUCUAAAAUACACCACACACAAUGGAUUCCCUGUUGUAGAUGUAGUGAUUACCCGAAUUGCAUGGACUUAUCUUAAGAACUCACCUUCUUUUGGUGCUCAAGAAGAAAGUGGUUCUUGCAUGCGAGGAGAAUAAAAGAUUGUGAAGUAGGGAAGAAAUUCACAUGGAUUGGAGUCUUGUGUACUUCUCUUGUUGGCAUUUCCAGUGGUUGGAAUCUUGACCAGACAAGACCUAAAGGCCUGCAACAUUUUGAAUGUUUUCCCCCAUCUGGCAAAGUCUUAACAGUAACAAAAAUGGGCACUGAACUUUUCAAUCGAGAAAAUAGUGCAUUUACCAAUAUAAAUAGGCAACAAUCACCAUGAUAUGUGAAUUUCAUGGGAGCAUCCAGUCGUAUGAUAUUCCUAUGCCUCUACAAAACAUACAUUUGGGAUCUUAUGUUUAUGAUGAUGAUAUUGUUAAAUAUUCAAAUGUAUUUAUAUAUGCAACAGUUAGUUUAUAUUGAUCUUUAUAUACACGAUUAUUAAGAUUCAUAGCAAA